rnacentral:tRNA from 1 species
AGCUGGCUAGCUCAGUUGGUUAGAGCGUGGUGCUAAUAGCACCAAGGUCAUGAGUUCAAGCCCCAUGCUGGCCA